UAGGCGGACGGGUGAGUAAUGUCUGGGAAACGUGCCUGAUGGAGGGGGAUAACUACUGGAAACGGUAGCUAAUACCGCAUAACGUCGCAAGACCAAAGAGGGGGACCUUAGGGCCUCUUGCCAUCGGAUGUGCCCAGAUGGGAUUAGCUAGUAGGUGGGGUAACGGUUCACCUAGGCGACGAUCCCUAGCUGGUCUGAGAGGAUGACCAGCCACACUGGAACUGAGACACGGUCCAG
rnacentral:rRNA from 1 species